rnacentral:rRNA from 1 species
GUGCAGCAGUCGCGAAAACUCCACAAUGUGGGAAACCACGAUGGGGGAACUCCCAGUGCGCACACUUUGUGUGCGCUGUUCUCCUGCCUAAAAAGCAGGAGAAGUAAGGGCCGGGUAAGACGGGUGCCAGCCGCCGCGGUAAUACCCGCGGCCCGAGUGGCGCUCAUUAUUAUUGAGUCUAAAACGUCCGUAGCCGGUCGGGUAGAUUCCUGGGUAAAUCGAACCGCUCAACGGCUCGAAUUCCGGGUAGACCGCCAAACUUGGGACCGUGAGAGGUUGGAGGUACUUCUGGGGUAGGGGUAAAAACCUGUAAUCCUAGGAAGACCACCA